AACUACCGGUUAUUGGGUAGAAAACCACAGAAAUAUGACUUACAACUACCGGUUAUUGGGUAGAAGGCCACAACAUCCGCUGGGGAGAAAAAUGAACAAUUACUGGUUAUUGAGCAAUUGAUCACCUGCCACAGGGAACUACAGGGGGAAAUAACAAGAGGAUUCAAUCUAGGAACAAACUAGAGAGACACAGUGAAACAUAACUCAACCCAAUGAGGAUAUAACUCAGGGGAGUAAUUCCAUCUCAAUACAUGUUUUGGGAGGAAGCUG
rnacentral:lncRNA from 1 species